rnacentral:rRNA from 1 species
AUUGAACGCUGGCGGCAGGCCUAACACAUGCAAGUCGAGCGGAUGAAGGGAGCUUGCUCCUGGAUUCAGCGGCGGACGGGUGAGUAAUGCCUAGGAAUCUGCCUGGUAGUGGGGGAUAACGUCCGGAAACGGGCGCUAAUACCGCAUACGUCCUGAGGGAGAAAGUGGGGGAUCUUCGGACCUCACGCUAUCAGAUGAGCCUAGGUCGGAUUAGCUAGUUGGUGGGGUAAAGGCCUACCAAGGCGACGAUCCGUAACUGGCCUGAGAGGAUGAUCAGUCACACUGGGACUGAGACACGGUCCAGACUCCUACGGGAGGCAGCAGUGGGGAAUAGUGGCCGAUGGGCGAAAGCCUGCUCCAGCCAUGCCGCGUGUGUGAAGAAGGUCUUCGGAUUGUAAAGCACUUUAAGUUGGGAGGAAGGGCAGUAAGUUAAUACCUUGCUGUUUUGACGUUACCAACAGAAUAAGCACCGGCUAACUUCGUG